UAUUUCCGAGCUGUCAUGUUUUGCCCUUUCUGUGGCCAACAUCUGGGCACUGUCUGCGUUUUCAGUGUCUCAUGUGGAAGAAAUGUACUGUUUUAGGCUGAAGGCAACACAUCUGCAUCAGACAGUCCCACAGAAGAGGGUUUGAUUCAAAAGUAUUUCCAUGAUGGCUACAGUUAUGGUGAAAUUUUGGAUUUCCUUGCUACAAAUCAUGAUAUCAAAAUUAGCUUUCGCUCUCUAAAGACUAAACUGAAACAAUUAUCAUUGUCCAGACAAAAAAACCUUCUCUCCUCUUGACGUUGUACGUGCUGCAGUAAAAGAAGAACUUAAGGGACCAAGUCUCAAUUCUGGAUGGACCUGAUGAACGACCUGAGGGAGACAAAUCUGUUCAGUGGCAGUCAUGAGCACAAAUGCCUCGUGAGG